rnacentral:lncRNA from 1 species
GGAGGGAUUGAUGAACCUUGAAACUAAUCGUAGGGUUAUAAUUGGUUGCAAGAAUUUGAUGUUAUUCAGCAGCAUGCUUUUGAGUAUCAGUGUACCUUAAUUUGCUUCUUAAUUAUAUAUAUAUUGUACGUGCAUUUUCAUGGAAUUCUAUAAAAUGAUUAAUCAUGCAUUUGUCUCUUCCAUAAAUAAUCAGGUCCUUCUAAUUAGUAAUCAGAAGUUAAUCCUUCAGUAUCAAGUUCGUAAGUGUUAACUAGUAUUUAAUUAAUUUUGAUUUAUGGAAUGUUAUUGGC